rnacentral:lncRNA from 1 species
CAUCAUUCGCCCUGCCUCGCAUCGCCCGAGCCAUCUCCUGAAAAAAAUAUUGUUUUGGGGUGAGUACAAUAAACUCAGUGGGGUGCAUUUAUCCAUAUUAUAAGAAUCACAACAAAAUAUAAGUGCAAUAAAAAUUGUCUGCUCUUUCAUAUUGCCCGAAAGCAAUAACUUUCUGUCUCUUAGCCCGAAGGCUAUAUAACUUUCUGUCUCAUAUAGCCCGUAGGCUAUACUUCUUCUCAUAUAGCCCGUAGGCUAUAACUUUCUUUCUCAUAUAACCCGUAGGCUAUAACUUUCUGUCUCAUAUAGCCCGUAGGCUAUAACUUUCUGUCUCAUAUAGCCCGUAGGC